rnacentral:rRNA from 1 species
CGGCUUGCGUGGUAUUAGCUAGUUGGUGAGGUAACGGCUCACCAAGGCUUCGAUGCCUAGGGGAUGUUAGCGCAUGAUCCCCACCACUGGGACUGAGAUACUGCCCAGACACCUACGGGUGGCUGCAGUCGAGAAUCUUCGGCAAUGGGCGAAAGCCUGACCGAGCGACGCCGCGUGUGGGAUGAAGGCCCUUGGGUUGUAAACCACUGUCAGAGGGGAUGAAAUGCAUGGGAGCUAUCUCCUGUGUUUGACAUAGCCUCAGAGGAAGCACGGGCUAAGUUCGUGCCAGCAGCCGCGGUAAGACGAACUGUGCAAACGUUAUUCGGAAUCACUGGGCUUAAA